rnacentral:lncRNA from 1 species
CAACACACCAUGAACGUUGUUAAAAAGAUCCCACACAACAAAAGAAUAACUCACAACUCCUCAAAAUAAAAUCAUUAGCCCUAAUUUUUCCAUCUCUCGUCUCCACCUCCAUCUUCUCUCGUCUCUGCCCUUCCAUUUACUUUCAUCUUUCCCAUUGGCGAGCUCGGUGGUGCAAGAGGUCACUGGGCAUCGCGUCCAGGACGUCGACCAAGCAAUCGUUGACUUUGUCAUCAACAUCUUCGCCGACGAGGACUUCGAUUUCGGUGGAGGGAGCCUUUGAAGCUCUAGGCGAACUCCUUUUCGACUCUUGUUUAAGAUUUUUCCAUCUUUUAAUAUAUGUAUUCUGUGUUUUGAAUCUCAAUUUGUUUAUGAUUGUUAAUGGACAGAUGGAUGAGCCUGUGGUGGAAGAUGUGAGGGAGGAUGAGGAACACGAAGAUGACGUUGAGGACUCCGAUGAUGAAGACGAUGACAAGGAAGGUGGUAUCGCAAGUAAUUUUUCUUCUCUAUUUUUUUUUUUUUACUGAUUAUUGUUAUUUUUUUACUAUGAAUAUUGUAUUUAGUUCUUAAAUGUUUACUGCUUUAUUGUUUAAUUUUUUGACAUUGAAUAUGCUUCUGGUUGAUGUAUAAGUAUCUGGAAUUUGUAAUGGCCCGGAAAUUUUUUUGGUUUUUAAGCAGGUUAUUAUUAUUUUUUUUAUUAUUAUUUACCACAACCUAAUCAAAAAUGGAAGCAAAAUAGUGAAGUGGGUUGUCUACAGGUUAUUAUUAUUAUUAUUAUUAUUAUUAUUAUUAUUAUUAUUAUUAUUAUUAUCAUCAUCAUUUACCACAACCUGUACAGAAAUUAAAACUUUUUUCACCUUUUUGUUCUCCUAGAAAUAAUUUAUGCAAGGCAAUAAACAAAAAAUUUAAAGAGUUCAAAUCAAAGUUCCUCUUCAAAUUAAAGUUCCUCUGUUCCAGAAUCAUUAAGUUGGAGAUUUCUUUCAUUUAAGGCAUUGAAAGAUCAAUCAGAAAGAAUGAAAAAACUGAUCCCAGCAUAAGAAAUUAAUUGAAACAAAUCACUACCAUCAGCACAGAAAGAUAGAUUAAGAAGAGAGAUUAUAUUUGUUUCAAGAGAUGAGACUGAUACAUUGAAGAUCAGAAACGAACCUUAACACCCCACCACCCUAAACCCACCCAACCAACAAAAAAAUAUAGAUAUGAAACAUUACAUUUAGAAAAGAUAACCCCUUGCCCUUGGUGGAUCCAAACUACCUAUUUUUCUAUGUAAUAACAGAAACUGCAAAUUACUAGUUUUUACUCCAAAAUGGUGAUGCACAAAAAGGAGUCACAGGUGGGGAAUUUUGAUCAUUUCUUGCUAGAUUAGGAAGCCUUGAAAUUGGAGGAGCCACUGACAUGUUAAGAUCAGGGAUGGAAUUUGGGCCAUGAGACUGUGACAGCCUCUGCUUCAGCUCAUUUAACAGUGCUUGAUUCUCCUGGUUCAAUAGUUAGCAGUUCUCCAAGUACAGCUUUGAGUUUAGCCUCUCCAUUUCGGUCAAACAUUUACAAAAAUGUAAGCAAAUUAACUACAUACCUUUUGGUAUAAAGACAAGAAUUAAGUGUACAAAGAAACCCAUAAAAAGAAAGAGAAAAGAAGAAAGAAUACCUCUUGGAAGGUUGGUUAGAAAAGAAGGAGAAGAAGAAGAAGAUUUUUUGAGAAAAAUGAAAAAAGUGAGAGACAAGGUGAAAGGGUAGGUGAAUAAUGUAGUCAGUUAAUGCAGGUAAACUUCACAAUGAUAUUGGAUUUAUAAAGUGUGGUUGCCCCCUCUCUUUUUGCCAAUGAUUUCACUGUUUGCAUAAAAAUCAACAUUACCUUUUUUAUGCUUCCAGUAUAUUUUUCUGUUUCCUCUUCGUUACUGUUUGUGCAUAUAUAAUUGGAGAAAAGAGUAAAUUUUAUCAGUGGUCACUGAAUUUUCAGCUCAAUCUCAACUGAGUCACUGAAUUUUAAGUAAAGUUUCAUUCUGGGAAUUCCUGCUGAUGCUAAUCUAGGCUGGGAGGAUUAUUUUCUUUGAGUUGGGUUGGUCAUCGAGAAAUGGAACCUGUAUCUUGGCGGGGCAAACCUUGGUGGCGUUGCAAGGAGGGAGAUUGAUCACAUUCUCUCUUUCACUUGCAUAUGCAGCUGGGCUUUUGCAGCCAUGGCAGUAUCUCACUCUCUUUGCUUGUAUUUUCAAAUCUGAGCCUAACAUUUAUAAAUUAACUCUUUAAGUCUUCCCAAACAUUCCCCAAGUCUUCCUUGCAAUUUGGAAAAAAUCCCAAACUCAAGAAUGAGACAAUAGAGAGAGAGGAUAUUUCGUAAGGGUGGUUGCCCUCCCUUUUUGCCAAUGGUCUCAAAAAAUUAACAUGUCAACAAACUCUUUUUUCGCCUGCAAUUAACUAUAUUAUUUUUUAGUUUGUGACUUACUUGCCACCUCACUGAGAAGAUUCAAGGAUUGUUAGGAUCAUGCUCAUAUCGACUAAGCAAAUCCUUCAACCAAUUUUGGUUAAUUUUUAUUUCAAAUGUUUGUGCAAGCUCUUCAAUGCGUGUGUUUAGUAUCAAUGUAACGUGUCUAAUACAAAUGGGUUGUACUUCUAACUCUUCCUCUUCUGUUUUUCCUUCUUUUAUCAAACACUUUCUUUUCAUUUAAUUACUAUAAGAGUAUUGGCGUAUUGCAUAGUUAAGAAAUUUGGUUUGGUUUAUUCUGAUAAUUAAGAAUGAGUAUUUGGUUUGGCUUCAUUUCUGGCUCUUAUAAAUAUUUGGUUUGGUUUCUUCUAAUAAUUAAGAAUGAGUAUUGGCAUAUUGCAUAUGUGUGAUAUUGUUUUACUCUUGAGCACAUCUAAUUUUAUUUAAUGUUAUGCAAUGUAGGUUGGUUUGAAGAUGCAGUCCUUGCUUGUCAGUGUGGUGACAUAGUCGUGCAUUGAAGCCUUCUAUCUCCAUAUGUUGGGUUUAUGGAUAAUUUCUU